UACGGGGGGGGGCAAGCGUUUGUUCGGAAUUACUGGGCGUAAAGGGCUCGUAGGCGGCCAACUAAGUCGGAUGUGAAAUCCCCAGGCUUAACCUGGGAACUGCGUCGGAUACUGGAUGGCUUGAAUUCGGGAGAGGGAUGCAGAAUUCCAGGUGUAGCGGUGAAAUGCGUAGAUAUCGAGAGGAACACCUGCGGCGAAGGCGGGUUGCUGGGCUGAUACUGACGCUGAGACGCGAAAGCGUGGGGAGCAAACAGG
rnacentral:rRNA from 1 species